UGAUUAGCUGAAUGUUGGAUUAAUAAUACCUAUUAAUAUCAAGAAUUACUUGAGUCGUUGUAGGCAGUGUAGGGCCAUAAUAUCUGCGUAUAAGGACAAGGGAUGCUGUGAUUGGGUUUCAUGCAAUAAUGACAUAUUACCCGAAAGUGAAAUAAAGAUAAAGAUGGGAAUCUUUAGGGAUUCUAGGACAAAAUCCGCGUACCUAUGAAGACAGAUGAUGAUGGGAGUUGGGAGUUAGAGAUUUUGGACUUCAUUUACUCAUUGUGCAGUACUUCCAAGUGCAGUUGAAAUAAGAAGAAAGAACAAGAAUUUGCAAAUUAGAUGGUUCAUUCAAGCAUCCAGCGUGUGAUAGUCUGAAGCCUCUUUCCUGUAUUUACUUCGAAACGUCGGCAUUUUGUUGAAUUGAGGGACUCAAUUCCCCAUUGAACUCUAAAAGUUUUUCUUCUUUUCGAAUUUCUUUUUCUCUUAGAGUUCCAUGCUUUAACCCAGACCAAAAAGGACCCUCUCAAUAGUUAUAUAAAUUUUGUAGUAAUGUAAUCCAGGUUUUUAAAAAUAAAUUCAUUUUAUAUCA